UCUCGUCCAUGUUUGCUCAGGGAGACGGCCAAGCUCCAGUCAGGAGAAAAUCAGGUGGUUAUCACAGCCAGAAGAAGAAAACCGACACUUCCUGUAUGACACACGCUCCGUUUCCUGUCCAGGGUCAUUUCUCACCCAGAGGGUGGUGAAGCCAAACAGCCCUGGAGCGCUAAAGAGGUUGAAACAACAUCCUUCGAGCAGGAGGCCCCCGAAAGCUGACGGGUCAAGAAGGCACGGACAACAAAGUGUGACACGUCAUUCUUCA